GACGAACGCUGGCGGCGUGCUUAACACAUGCAAGUCGAACGGAAAGGCCCCUUCGGGGGUACUCGAGUGGCGAACGGUGGAGUAACACGUGAGUAACCUGCCCUUGGUUUCGUGAUAACUUCAGGAAACUGGGUCUAGUACCCGAUAGCAAUCCUUGCUUCAUGUUGGUUGUUGGAAGGCUUCGGCGGGUUUGGAUGAACUCGCGGCCUAUCAGCUGGUUGGUGGGGUAGUGGGUUACUAGGGCUUGGACGGGUAGCCGGCCUGAGAGGGCGACAGGCCACAUUGGGACUGAGGUGCGGGCCAGACUGCUACGGGAGGCAGCGGUGGGGAAUAGUGCACAAUGGGCCGAAGCAUGAUGCAGCAACGCCGGGUGCGGGAUGACGGCCUUCGGGUUGUAACCCGCUUUCAGCAGGGGCGAAGCUUGUGGUGAGGGUACCUGCAGAAGAAGCACCGGCUACCUCCGU
rnacentral:rRNA from 1 species